rnacentral:rRNA from 1 species
AGUUUGAUCCUGGCUCAGGAUGAACGCUAGCGGCAGGCCUAAUACAUGCAAGUCGAACGGGAUUGAAGAGCUUGCUUUUCAUGAGAGUGGCGUACGGGUGCGUAACGCGUAUGCAACCUACCUUCAUCAGGGGGAUAGCCCGAAGAAAUUCGGAUUAACACCGCAUAACAUUAUUGGAUGGCAUCAUUUAAUAAUCAAAUAUUUAUAGGAUGAGGAUGGGCAUGCGUGUCAUUAGCUAGUUGGCGAGGUAACGGCUCACCAAGGCGACGAUGACUAGGGGAUCUGAGAGGAUGACCCCCCACACUGGUACUGAGACACGGACCAGACUCCUACGGGAGGCAGCAGUAAGGAAUAUUGGUCAAUGGAGGCAACUCUGAACCAGCCAUGCCGCGUGCAGGAAGACUGCCCUAUGGGUUGUAAACUGCUUUUAUACGGGAAUAAACCUUGAUUCGUGAAUCGAGCUGAAUGUACCGUAAGAAUAAGGAUCGGCUAACUCCGUGCCAGCAGCCGCGGUAAUACGGAGGAUCCAAGCGUUAUCCGGAUUUAUUGGGUUUAAAGGGAGCGUAGGCGGCCUAUUAAGUCAGGGGUGAAAGACGGUGGCUCAACCAUCGCAGUGCCUUUGAUACUGGUAGGCUUGAAUGUAGUUGAGGUAGGCGGAAUGUGACAAGUAGCGGUGAAAUGCAUAGAUAUGUCACAGAACACCGAUUGCGAAGGCAGCUUACUAAGCUAUGAUUGACGCUGAGGCUCGAAAGCGUGGGGAUCAAACAGGAUUAGAUACCCUGGUAGUCCACGCCCUAAACGAUGAUAACUCGAUGUUGGCGAUAUACAGUCAGCGUCCAAGCGAAAGCGUUAAGUGUUCCACCUGGGGAGUACGGUCGCAAGAUUGAAACUCAAAGGAAUUGACGGGGGCCCGCACAAGCGGAGGAGCAUGUGGUUUAAUUCGAUGAUACGCGAGGAACCUUACCCGGGCUUGAAAGUUAGUGAAGAUUCCAGAGAUGGAUUCGUCCGCAAGGACACGAAACUAGGUGCUGCAUGGCUGUCGUCAGCUCGUG